ACCUGUCCUAAUUGGCUAGCUCUAAUGGAGCACCAACUUGCAAGUGCUUAUAAGGCCGUGUGGGUCAUAAUAUUUUAAACUGAAAGGAAACAACUCUGUUCGUGAGCUCUUCUUCUUCUUCUUCUUCUUCUUCUUCUUCCCAUUACUACAAACAAUGAACCUGUUCUUAUAGAGUCUGCUCUUCUUCUUUCUACUCCUGCAAACAACGACUCUGUUCUUAUAUACUCUGUUUCUUCUUCUUCUUUCCGCUAUUACAAACUACCACUCUGUUCUUAUAUACUCUGUUUCUCUCUGCAUUUCGUUCCAAAGUUUACAUAUACCCAUGCCAUUGAUUGUAUCUUAAUCCUUCGUUACUAAUGUAUCAUCAUCUGCCUGAGGAUCCUAUGCAUUUCUAAUUAGUGGUAUUUUCUGAAGCUCCCCUGAAGGUAUGUGCGUCUACUUAAUGCCUCUCCUUUUCUUUUCAGUUUCAAAUUAUAGCGUACCAAAUUUUUGUUAUUUCUCUUUUCAUUCUCGUUCUUGUUUUCGCCGAAUGAUGAUCAAAAUGCGUAGUUUCUUGCCGUUAUUUCUUCUUUUAGUUAACUUCCAUGUCUUGUACGUAUGUAUAUAAUUUUGUUAAAUGAUGAAAAAUUUUAUUCGUGCAUGCGAAGAAUAUCUAGGAAUAAAAAAUGGAAGGCCACAAACAAGUAGAAACAAAACCAGAGAAAUGGUGAUUUUGUUGUGUAAUGCUUUAUGUUAACCUAAGCUCAUGACAAAACCAAGGUAAGACAUUUCUUGUCUAUCAAAAUGCUUCCCCUGCUUCUGCUCUGUUUCUAAAACCUAAUAUUGUCAGAUGAACAAACCCAAGGGAUUCUCAAUCGGGAAAGGGUGUAGUUUUCAACUUCUUCCUAAACUGUAGUCGGAAAAUGUCACAUGUCACGAUCCUGUGACCAUCACGAGCCACGUGACGUGCAAAGAAAAGAGGAAAAAUUGCACUCAUAGCUAGCCUCAAAUUCUUGUUUGUCACGUGAACCCAUGAUGGUCACGGGCUCGUGAUAAAUGAUAUUGUUCCUUUGUAAUCGAUAGUGGCAUAUCUUGGAAUUUUUCGACAAGUGGGCCAUAUUUAUUUUUUAUUUUUUAUUUUCUAAGGGUAGUCACUAGUGGGUCAUCCUUAGAAAAGAUUACUGUGGUGGUGCAGAAAUAUAUGAAUUUUUUUUUCUUACAUGUAUCCCGUUGUUCUAGAUGGUAUGCUGAGAUGCCAUGAUGACAUAUAAUUUUUCUAGGCUUGUGUAUAAUAAAUCAUGAUUAAUUUCAUUUAAUCAAGAAAGUAAAAUGAUUGAAUUUGAAAAGUUGGUAUACUUUUGGUGAAAUGAUAAGAAUCUAAAAACCAAAAAAUAAAAAGCUUAUCAUGAUUAAUAAAGUUUUUUGAGUAGUGUAACACACAUCCGUGCACACGGGUGAUACAUGAAUACAAUAAUAUGACCAUCAAAAACUCGAAAUAGGUCUUUAACUUUAAUUUUUCUUUCAGAAAUAUACACAUCAAAAAGAAAAAAGAAAUACAUGAAGUGCUUGAAUUGAAUUCGUCAAAAAAAUAAUUCUAAAUUUGGGGCAUCGACUUGUAGUGUACAUGAAUUUAUAUUAGGUGAUUGAAUUUAAUUUAAAAAUUUUUGAAGAAGUGGGUCCUACAAGGCACUACGGUCGAAUAUCCCAAUCAUUUUUAUUAAUUUUAAAUAUUUAUUCGAUCAUAUACAAAUACCGACAUAUGUUUAUAUUAAAAAAAAAAGAAUUUAAAAAAAGGAAAAUAAAAACUUCCACAAAUAAUAGACUUGUACAUAUUUUUUGCUUGGAACUUCAAUCGGAGCAAAAUCUAUCUACCCAUUAUCAUAUCUUUGGUAAAUCACCCGAUAAAAUCGCAAGUGGAGAAUCGAACCUAAGACUUUAGGGUAUUUCGGCCUUAUCACUUGAGCAAAUCCUAGUAGUAGGCCACACAGGCACCCACAUUAUAGAAUCUGGUGAAUUAUAUUUUUCCAAUAUAAUAUAUAUUAUAAACUCCUUAAAAAGAAAAAAGAAAAAAAGAGCAGCAGGUGGAAACAUCAGUCGGUCAAGCAAAUGGAGGUCAACCAUCCACCAAUCAGAUAUGAAAAUAGGAUAGUUAGGAGAAAUAAAGACCAGUAGUUUUGGGUUUGAGGAUCAGAUAUGGGUCAAAAGAACAUUAGGUCAAAUCCCCACCCACACCAAUUUAAUUUAUGGCCAUUUUUCAUUUCCCCCACUCCCACUAUAUUCAAAUUUUUACAUUCCCUAAAAGCCAAAAACCCUAUUUAAUUUAAUUUCUCUGCAGAUUUUUCAGACCCGUGAAGGUUUAAUGGCAGCCUUGUACUUUCAUUCUGAUCAUCCCUUCCAUUUUGCACGACCCUUUAUUACCGGCAUUUUGUACUAUCAAUUUUAUUCGAUAUUUGUAAAAUUGAAUCAAUUGGUUCAGUUACACCGAGUUAGAAAAUAUGAGGAAAAGGAAAAAAAAAUAUAAAAAAUUUAAUUUCUCGUGAUUAAUUAUCAAGAAAAUUAAAAAAAAAAAUUAUAUCGAAUCAAUGAACAAAAUUUUGGUCUUAUAUACCAUUCCCGUCUGAUUUUUCUUAUUUUUUUAAUCAUAUUACAAAAAAAUUUAUUUUUAGUGGUAUUUGAAAUAAAGAAAAAAAUAUAAUCAAAAAUUGAGUUUCCUUCUCAUUUUUCUUUUCCUUUUCUAUCCAAACGGACCCUUAAGUUUCAAGUAAAUCAGUUGUGCUAGUUUGGCUGGCCCCAUUCGACUAUGAAUAGAAAUUAUAUUAUUAUUUUUUAUUUUAUUUUUUUUACUCACUGUGAAGACUUAAUUAAAGGGUCGUCAUUGAUGUGGAAAAUGGACAUUAUUUUUAUUAUUAUUUUCCAAAAUCAUAUGCUUUUGUGGGCCCCAAGCCUCAGUCCAUUUCUUGUAGUUUGAGGCUCAACAUUUGGACUCCUUAUGGGCUUAGGCCCAACCCAAAAUGGUUAGCCAGCAGUGAAGUUUAGGCUGACUAGAGUCCAGCAGAAACCCAAUUAUCACUUGGGCUCCUUGUGGGCUUGGGCUUAGGUCCAGCUGCAAACUUCAGAAAAUAGGCUAAAUUGGGCCUGAUAUUUUCUUAUCCUGAGAUAUUUUAUUUUCACCUAUGUACCAAAAAAGAAAAAUAAAAUAAAGUUAGACAUCAAUAGAAAUAGUCGGGACUGGCGCAGUUGUCCAAUCCUAGCCAAUCGUGCAUUUCAAGCAUGUUGUACCCUACGGUAUACCCACAUUCAACCUAGCCAUUGGCUGGGAGCACUAGGCGAAUGAAAUUUUAGAAAAAUCUUAGAGUCCUACAGUAAUUUUAACGUUCUUCUUCCAAAAAAAAUAAAAUAAAAUAAUAUUUAUUUUUAUAUGUCCGUAUCAAAAGAUUUGAAAUUUUAAUCUCUAAAGUUAAUUUUACAAUCUUUUAUUAAAAAAAAUUAUUCCUAAAUUAAUGCAAAAUACUUCGCUAUUGAAUAGUCUAUCAUAAUUUUUGUUUACAAAUCCAAUACACAACUCUUUAGAAUUGUUUUAUGUUGUGUUCACCCAUACAUAUAUCUUGCUCUAGUGAAUAAAAUUUCUUGAGCUAGUGUGCCGGUAUGCAUGUGUGAAAUGCAUGGAUGGCCGAGAUUGGUCAGUUGCGUCAGUCACGUAUUAGUAACAAGUCUCAAGGAAGGAAUCAAUAAUAAAAAAAAAUUAUUGCAAAAAAUUUUCAUAAGAUUUUUUUGCAAGUGAUGCAACAUCCGAUAAAUAUUAGGAUUGAUUAAUUGGAUGGGAAAAGGUUUAAUCAAUUCUUAAAUGCCAUGUUGUGAAAAAUCUUAUGAAUAUUUCCUUGUGAUGGAUAGAAACACUUAUAUAUAUUUGCUUUCUUAUAUAAACGAAGUGAAACUAAUUAAAAGAAAAAGUAAACCAAUUAAGUGAACAUAUAUUUAGCAAUAUUCUUGAUUAAGGUGUUGCUAAAUUUGUCUUGGUGUAUACCUAAAAACACACACACUAUUCUCGUGUAAGAGCUCAAGUUAGAGUGAAAAAAGAGUAUAAACUAGAAUGAAGUGACUAAUUGAAAUUGAUGUAAUUGUCCAAUCUUGGUCGUUCGUGCAUUUCACAUGUUAUUGUAAUGCUCUCGUGCAUGCAUGCGUGGAAUGCAUGGAUGGCCGAGAUUGGUUGGUACGUCGCAUCAAUAAAUCUUUAUCAAACCUAAGGAAAACCUGUAAUAUAUAAUUAUUAUAGGAGAAGUUUGGCCAAUUAAGGAACGUCCUAUUAAGGAAAUUAAAGAUGGGCAAUUCUCAUGAUAAUCAAAGUUUAGUGGCCUUUAAACUUUGGAAGCAUUUACCUAACUUGAAAGUUGCAAAUUUACCAAAUCAAAUUUCUAUCGUAGAAGAAUUGAACUUGUGUGCUGCCUAGACUAACUCCCCAUAUAUAUAUUUACCCUACCAUUAGGAAGCGUGUGAAAAAAUGUAUGUGGCGGUUACUACUUAAUUUUAUUUUUGCAUUCAAAAGUAUGGAUUUAAAGGCUUAGAUUUAGAUUUGUAUGAAUUUAGAAGAAACCCAAUACAAUUCUAUAUUACAUUUUGUCUAAAUCACACAAAUCCAAAUCCAAGCCUCUAAUUAAGUUUAUGUUAGCUUCCAAACGUUAUCCUAGUGAAAUUAUUUUUAAUUUUAUGAUCAAUUAAAAUCAUUACCUUCUAACUUUCAAGCUUCUAAUUCUACUUCUCGAACCUUUUGCAUCUGCCUAAUAUAUCUCGAUCAAUUAAUAUUUCACAUUUUACACCAUCUAUCUAUGUUUUUUCUUCAAAAUUAUUCUUAUAACUUUACAUUCUUAUUGUGAAUGGUACGUACUGGAAUUAAAAUCCAUUGAGGAUUUCAAGGGCAUACCGCAAAUAUGCAUGAAGAUAGAGCUACUCAAAACAUGGCGCAUCAUGAUCAUCAUCAGCUGUGCUAGCUAGAAUUAAGGCCAUUGAUUACUGAUCAGAGAUGCUUUUCAAUAUGAUCACUAAUCCUCUUUGGAUCGCUCUGGUUGUGAAAUGGAGACGUCGUAGAAGACAAUACAGCAGAUUCCCAGCUUGUGCCGAAUCCAAAAGCCUGAGCAGAAGAGAUCAAAGUAGCAUGAUCUGCAGAAGUACCCUGCGGUGGUGCAAUACUGUUGUUACUAGCCCCAUUCGGCUGCUGCAGCAGUUGGUGUUGAGCACUUGAACCGGCAAACAUGUCUUCGUUGAUUAACGAAUUCAAGAAGGAAGAGAAUACGUCGUCGGUGGGGCACUGGUUCAUCAUCUCGUCCUCUUCUUCCUCGUAGACGAGCCCGGAUGUAAUAUGAAUAUUGCUAUUGUUUCUGAUCAAACCCGGCACGGGAGUGUCAAAAUUCGGAAGAUUGGCUUGGGCGUGAUAUUGAUCAAAUCCAGCAGCGCUACCGUCGUAGUAUCCGUAGGAGGGCGAAGAGGACGGUCCACCCUUUACGAUGCCUGAAUUAAUUAUCGGAGCCGCCGGUGAUUCAUGUAAAUGAUGGUGAUGGUGGUGAGUAGUAUUGAUGAUCGCGGAAGCGUGAGGAGUCGGAUCGGGAUCAUCAUGGUGGUGUUGGUGAUUAGGGUUUUGAGGGGAGGUUUCGACUGGCCGAGUUUGAUGAAGAUGAUGAUGGUGGUGGUUUGGUAUAGAUGAGGAAGAAGGAGCAGAAGAUUGGGGGAGAUUAAGGUGAGAAGUAGUGGUGUUAGAGUUUAGGGGUUUGUGUGUUCUGGGAUCUAUGCCUUGGCUGAUGAGCUUCUUGCUGAGGCUGAAAUAAAGCACGCGCCUUCGAGAUCGUGACAUUCACGCGCCAUCGGUUGUAGCUCAGCCUCAGUCUAUAAUGGUGUAUGGGUUUCGGGAACCAGAAGGAUCUCGCAUCUUCGGGUUGCAAAGCAGCUGACGAGGAGGUUCCACUGGUUCAGAUUGCUACGGUUGGUUCUACGCUCCGGCAUGGCGCGUGUAUAAACAAUUCCGAAAGUUGUCCAAUCCCAGGCGCAUCUAUGAACGUUACUACCACGCGCCGCUACAAAGUAGAUUAGAAGGUCUAUAGAUUUGCGAAGUCAAAGCAUUAUCGUAGAAGAGGUUUACAACUUGCUGGCGGGGUGGUUUAAUGGCUUGGAUGGACGGAUUGGUUGCCACGCUCCGAUGGCCUGCGUGCUAGAAAUGAUGAGAAAAAGGAGCCAAUCCCUGGAAAUGACUUGCUCAGGUCUGAUUUGUGGGGAGGGGGGACCCACUUGCCUGCUGCGCAUCGAUUGGGCCAGCUGGCACCGAUUGAGGAUGAUAUAAUGCGGUCCCGUUGCUUAUCUGGUUUGAUAAAUGAAUGUGUGUACGCCGCGCAGCACUGAAUAAAAACCCAUGUGCACACUGCAUUUUAAAUAUUUAAAUACACCUUGAGCAAGUAAUCCACUAAUCCCCAAUAAUGACGCGCCCCUGAUCUAAUCCCCGCCGUUCGAUUCAUCCGAUUGCUGAUCCUACGGCCCCCAGCUCACUUGGGCUUUCUUUUUAAGUUUCUGUUUUUUUUUUUUCCCAUUUUCCCUUGUGUUGAAGUGAAGUAAAAAAUUAUUUCUUUAUAAGUAGUUUUUUUAUUUAAAAAAUUUCUAUGCUCUUAUUU